rnacentral:rRNA from 1 species
AUUGAACGCUGGCGGAAUGCUUUACACAUGCAAGUCGAACGGCAGCACGGGGGCAACCCUGGUGGCGAGUGGCGAACGGGUGAGUAAUACAUCGGAACGUGCCCGGUCGUGGGGGAUAACGUAGCGAAAGUUACGCUAAUACCGCAUACGAUCUGAGGAUGAAAGCGGGGGACCUUCGGGCCUCGCGCGAUCGGAGCGGUCGAUGUCAGAUUAGGUAGUUGGUGGGGUAAAGGCCUACCAAGCCGACGAUCUGUAGCUGGUCUGAGAGGACGACCAGCCACACUGGGACUGAGACACGGCCCAGACUCCUACGGGAGGCAGCAGUGGGGAAUUUUGGACAAUGGGCGCAAGCCUGAUCCAGCCAUUCCGCGUGCAGGACGAAGGCCUUCGGGUUGUAAACUGCUUUUGUAUGGAACGAAAAGGCUCUGGCUAAUACCUGGGGCUCAUGACGGUACCGUAAGAAUAAGCACCGGCUAACUACGUG